GGAUGCGAUCAUACCAGCACUAAAGCACCGGAUCCCAUCAGAACUCCGAAGUUAAGCGUGCUUGGGCAWGAKYASUAYUAGGAUGGGUGACCUCCUGGGAAGUCCUCGUGUUGCAUUCC
rnacentral:rRNA from 16 species